GAAGCCAAACAGAUGAUCGCGGAGGCAGGGAUCGAAAGGUCGCCUCUGAGGAAAGUCCGAGCUCCAUAGGGCAAGGUGCUGGGUAAUACCCAGUGGGGGGGGACCCCAAGGAAAGUGCAACAGAGAGAUACCGCCAAUACAGAGGCCGGUCUUCAGAGGCCAGAGGUCAGAAAAAAUCUGGCGUCCGGCUUCCGAUGACUGACCUCUGGAUUGGUAAGGGUGGAAAGGUGAGGUAAGAGCUCACCGGCAGUCAGGUGACUGGCUGGCCAUGUAAACCCCACCUGGAGCAAGACCGAAUAGGGGAACGAUAAACGGCCCGUUUUGUUCCCGGGUUAGGUCGCUAGAGGCCGUCGGUAACGGCGGUUCGAGAUAGAUGAUCAUCACCUCCGCAAGGAGGGACAGAACUCGGCUUAUGGUUGACUUCGCGA
rnacentral:RNase_P_RNA from 2 species